rnacentral:rRNA from 1 species
UUGGUNAUGGACGGAAGUCUGACCAGCCAUGCCGCGUGCAGGAAGACGGCCCUAUGGGUUGUAAACUGCUUUUGCAGGGGAAUAAACCCCGGUACGUGUACCGGGCUGAAUGUACUCUGAGAAUAAGGAUCGGCUAACUCCGUGCCAGCAGCCGCGGUAAUACGGAGGAUCCAAGCGUUAUCCGGAUUUAUUGGGUUUAAAGGGUGCGUAGGCGGCCUAUUAAGUCAGGGGUGAAAGACGGUAGCUUAACUAUCGCAGUGCCUUUGAUACUGAUGGGCUUGAAUACACUAGAGGUAGGCGGAAUGUGACAAGUAGCGGUGAAAUGCAUAGAUAUGUCACAGAACACCAAUUGCGAAGGCAGCUUACUAUGGUGCAAUUGACGCUGAGGCACGAAAGCGUGGGGAUCAAACAGGAUUAGAUACCCUGGUAGUCCACGCCCUAAACGAUGAACACUCGAUGUUAGCGAUAUACAGUUAGCGUCUAAGCGAAAGCGUUAAGUGUUCCACCUGGGGAGUACGCCCGCAAGGGUGAAACUCAAAAAAAUUGACGGA